rnacentral:rRNA from 1 species
UACAGAGGGUGCGAGCGUUAAUCGGAAUUACUGGGCGUAAAGCGUGCGUAGGCGGCUUUGCAAGUCGGGUGUGAAAUCCCCAGGCUUAACCUGGGAACUGCAUUCGAGACUGCAUUGCUAGAGUAUGGGAGAGGGAAGUGGAAUUUCCGGUGUAGCGGUGAAAUGCGUAGAUAUCGGAAGGAACAUCAGUGGCGAAAGCGACUUCCUGGACCAAUACUGACGCUCAUGUGCGAAAGCGUGGGGAGCAAACAGG